rnacentral:rRNA from 1 species
UACGAGGGGGGCAAGCGUUGUUCGGACUUAUUGGGCGUAAAGGGUGCGUAGGCUGUGCGGUAAGUCACCUGUGAAAACUCUGGGCUCAACCCAGAGCCUGCAGGCGAAACUGCCGUGCUGGAGUAUGGGAGAGGUGCGUGGAAUUCCCGGUGUAGCGGUGAAAUGCGUAGAGAUCAGGAGGAACACCGGUGGUGUAGACGGCUUUCUGGACCGUAACUGACGCUGAGACGCGAAAGCGUGGGUAGCAAACAGG